CCUACGGGAGGCAGCAGUGAGGAAUAUUGGUCAAUGGACGAGAGUUUGAACCAGCCAAGUAGCGUGAAGGAUGACUGCCUUAUGGGUUGUAAACUUCUUUUAUAUGGGAAUAAAACGUUCCACGUGUGGGAUUUUGUAUGUACCAUAUGAUUAAGGAUCGGCUAACUCCGUGCUAGCAGCCGCGGUAAUAAGGAGGAUCAGAGCGUUAUCCGGAUUUUAUGGGUUUACAGGGAGCGUAGGUGGGUUGUUAAGUCAGUUGUGAAAGUUUGCGGCUCAACCGUAAAAUUGCAGUUGACACUGGCAGUCUUGAGUAAAGUAGAGGUGGGCGGAAUUCGUGGUGUAGCGGUGAAAUGCUUAGAUAUCACGAAGAACUCCGAAUGCGAAGGCAGUUCACUGGACUGCAACUGACACUGAGGCUCGAAAGUGUGGGUAUCAAACAGGAUUAGAUACCCUUGUAGUC
rnacentral:rRNA from 1 species